AGCGAACGCUGGCGGCAGGCUUAACACAUGCCAGUCGAACGCAUCCUUCGGGGUGAGUGGCAGACGGGUGAGUAACACGUGGGAACGUACCCUUCGAUCUGGGAUAACUUCGGGAAACUGGAGCUAAUACCGGAUACGCCCUUUUGGGGAAAGGUUUACUGUCGAAGGAUCGGCCCGCGUCUGAUUAGCUAGUUGGUGGGGUAACGGCCUACCAAGGCGACGAUCAGUAGCUGGUCUGAGAGGAUGAUCAGCCACACUGGGACUGAGACACGGCCCAGACUCCUACGGGAGGCAGCAGUGGGGAAUAUUGGACAAUGGGCGCAAGCCUGAUCCAGCCAUGCCGCGUGAGUGAUGAAGGCCUUAGGGUUGUAAAGCUCUUUUGUCCGGGACGAUAAUGACGGUACCGGAAGAAUAAGCCCCGGCUAACUUCGUG
rnacentral:rRNA from 1 species